UUUUAUUUUUCGCAUUUAUUUUUAUUGUAUCGAGAUUUGUGAUUUUUGGUCGUUCACCUAUUCACCCCCCUCUAGGUGAUAGAUACAAUCUAGAUAGAUCCUUGGGCUCCUCAAAACUUUCACGUUGGCGCUCAAAUUUGACAGACAGGCUCAAUUAAAAUCAAUCAGAGGAAUGUGAUCUUAACUUUUCAGUUUCGAAUCAUUUUUUGUCACCGAAAGCUCUACCGACUAGAAUCUCUAGCAGAUAGCAGUCAGCUUUUAUUUUCUACUUUUCGGGUGUCGGAAUGAAAUGAAACUUUAAAUCUAUCCUCAUAAAAAUAAUUCCAACAUAUUCUCAAAUUUUCAUAAUUUUCUGACACUGAAUUUUUAGCUGACAGAUUAGUCCCGAUUCUUUAAGAAAAUUCUAAAUCUUUUAUUUUCAUCCCAAUUUCACCAUAAUCACUUUUAAUUUACCUUUUACCUUUUCUAAGUCAAUAAAAAUAGUAUCUCACACUAUUUUUAUUUACACUUGAUUUUACUAAAACAUCCUUCAAAAUCUGCAUUCUGUAGAAUUGCGU
rnacentral:lncRNA from 1 species